UACAGAGGGUGCGAGCGUUGUCCGGAAUCACUGGGCGUAAAGGGCGCGUAGGUGGCGAGCCAAGUCCAUGGUGAAAGCUCGAUGCUCAACAUCGAGUCGGCCACGGAUACUGGUGCGCUUGAGCACUGUAGAGGCUAAUGGAAUUCCGGGUGUAGCGGUGGAAUGCGUAGAGAUCGGGAGGAAUACCAGUGGCGAAGGCGGCCUUCUGGACUGACACUGACGCUGAGGCGCGAAAGCCAGGGGAGCAAACGGG
rnacentral:rRNA from 1 species